CAGAAAGCUGCAGCACAUUACACCAGAAACUGACUUCAGCUCCUGGCUGGAGUAGAUUUUUAGUAAAUGACCCCCAACAUUCCCAUAAUACAGCGCUAAAUCCAGUUAAAACCAUUCAUAUUUCACGUCCUGCCUAGCUCCACAGCGUCAGGAUUCUGGUGUAUGAGGCUCAUGUGCAGACAGUCUAUCUUCAGGAUGAUAUACAGCCUGUAUACAGAUUAUAUUUAAUGUACUUGAAUUACGAGAGUGCAGUUUACAUGCCGCUGUGACGGAUUUUUGGAAAAGUUGUCAGUGUGAUUAGUCAGAUGACUAAAAAACAGAGUGUAUGUAGCUUUUAUGUGUGGUGUGAUUUUAUUUCAUUUUUGUGCUGGAGUUCCCCUUUUGUUUUUGUUUUGCCGAUUUGGCCAUUUUUAAGCAGAUAUCCAUCUUACACCGAUGUGCGGCAAUAUUACAGCCAUGUGAAACUACCUCAAAGGGGUUGUUCAGAGGGAUUACAUUUUUUAUAUAUGGCUCAGAGUGGGUUAAAAAAAAAAGCCAUACUUUCCCUCAACGAUCCGCCAUUAAGGACCGGUUUGGAGACUCUGCUGAUUUGAUAUACAAAAGAUAUACAAAAAUUGCAUUGAAAAGUAUUAUUCUAGGGGGGUGAUCAGUAUACAUAUAGCAUAUGGGAGAACUGAAAGCCUGUCUCAGGAAAUGUAGUCUGGUGGAGAGAGGUUUUACUGUAUAGGAGUUUUCUCAGACUUCUAUAUCUCACUUGUGAGAACCCUGGAGCUGUACUAUAAGAAAUGUAUGCAAAAAAAAACUAGAAAACCGUGUAUUUGGAUGUAGAGCCUUGACACUGACACUUGCAUGUGUGCGCUGAGGUUUUAAUGCAUUACUAUUUAUUUUAAUGAUUGUCAUGACCUUGACAUCUCAUAUCCGUUGGGACAAAAAAAUAUAAAAUAUAAAAAUAAGUCAUCCAUAA